rnacentral:sRNA from 1 species
AAACGCCCCCCCCCCCCCCCCCCCGAGGGGGUAGUUUUUUACACCACAAGUUUGGUGUUUUUAUUUUUCUUUUUUUUUUCACCAAACUUGUGGUGUAAAAAACUACCCCCUCGGGGGGGGGGGGGGGGGGGGGGGGCGUUUAAAUUUUUUUUUUUUUUUUACGGAU